rnacentral:lncRNA from 1 species
GUUCACCAGAGAGCUGCUCAUAGAAUCAAGUGGGGUUAGGAAUUUCUGGAUAACAUGAUAACUCCUGAGAUUAGUGGCACAGUGAGAUGGGUUUAGCCUUGUCUCACUCCCUAAUCCCAUCCUCUAGCCCCACACUACCCCAGCCAUCCCAUCAUCCCAUGCUUCUCUUCCUACCUAAUUGGGUACAGAAUGAGAAAAACAGUCAGGAACAAGAGAUGGUGACAGUAAAGAGCACCAAGUAAACCUAUUGAAAGAACACCAGUGGCCUCACGUGGAAUAAUUUUAACUCCACUGAUGCCUCCUACAAUCAAGUAAUCAAAUCAGCCAACUCUCUGGAGAAAUAAUGAAAACAAACUGUUCUGUUCUUAUUCUUAAUUUAACAUUUUUCAUCUUAUGAAUUGGAUACAAUUGAAGACUGGUAUCAAGAUGAUGGUUGCCUCAUAAAAUGAGGUAGGGAGAAUGCCCUCUUUUUCCAUUGAUUGGAAUAGUUUCAGAAGGAAUGUUACCAGCUCCUCUUUGUACCUCGGGUAGAAUUCGGCUGUGAAUCCAUCUGGUCCUGGACUUUUUUGGAAGUUGAAUAGCAAACAAUCAUGAUGGGUGAUCAAUAUGGUGAAGAUCCAACUCUCCAAGCAGGACAGAAGAGAAUGUGGAUGAUCUAAACUGGGAUGAGAGCCUGGAAACUACUUUCCUCAGAAUCAUCGUUAGAGUUCAUCAAUGGAGGUAUGAAAUUUGGAAGGCAGAAGAAAUGCAGAAACCACCACUGCACCUGUGACAGAAGUAGGCACUGUUGCUGAGAAGCCCCUAGAUCUGGGGUUGAAAGAUGAGAGAGUCCAUGAAAGUUCGAGAAGAACAAAUUGCUACAUAAUUGGAAGGGAUUAAGUUACAAAUAUUGAUUUGUUAAGGACCUCUGCAGGCUAGUCUGUGAAUUGCCCUGAAAGUCACUGUGAAAAAUUAGCUUGCAGUAUUAAUCCCAUAGAAAGAAACCCAUUUAAGUGGGAAGAAGGGGCCACAUUGAAAAUGGCAUUCAAUGGAUCUUGAAGGAAGAGUAAGAGGUCACCAAGGGAAAAAAAGAUGGGAAAGCUAACUGAAGCAGAGAGAACAUGAGAUGGAGUCUCACUCUGUCGCCCAGACUGGAGUGCAGUGGUGUGAUCUCAGCUCAACCUCCGCCUCCCAGGUUCAAGGGAUUCUCCUGCCUCAUCUUCCUGAGUAGCUGGGACUACAGGUCUUCUGCUACAUGCCCUGAAGCAGCACCUAUUAAGGUUUGAUUAGAAAAAGGGUGGCCUUGGGUGCCUGGGAGCUUCUGCAGGAGUGGUAACUCUGGCCGGCUGAAUGGCUUGCUCUAGAUAUGUAACUGCAUAUAAUAAAACGUAAUUAAUUUUUAAAA